UCCAGUGGGGGUGGAACUAAAACCUGGAGUGGAGUCUGUUACCUUGAUGUAUAUCUGCUGAUGUAACCCGCUGUAAGCUAAAAAGAGGAUGGAGCACCUGCUCUCUUGGAUUGGUCCGGAACUUGGAUCCUGACAAGAGAUUGGAGAUCAUUGCGGAUCCAUGUGGGAGGCAAAUUGGGUGUGGGCACUUUGAGUAAUUGGGGUAGUAGCUUUAUUAAUUAUUGUGUUUUACAGAUAUAAGCAAUGGUUUUGUGGACAACCAGGGCCCAUUUGAUUUCUCAGUCGUUCCGAUUCCUAAUAUUUCCCCAACCGGCUGCGGAGUGUGAACCUCUUACAGAUGAAAGAAGUCCCUGCUUAGGACACCCUGGAAGCUGCCUUUUGAUGCAAAAGAACGGAAAAGAGAAUUUUCUUUAAAUGUGUUGGUUUUGUAAUUGUGGGUGUGAGUGUUGUUGUUGCACUCACUGUAUUGAUUGUGUUUUAUGUAUAAGCUGUAAGGUAGAGUGGGACGUGAAAAUUAUAGAGGAGGUGCUAGUAUAUUAUUUGGUAAUAAAUCCUGAACCCUUGUAAUAUUAUCUGAAAUGGAAAAGCUGCAUAUACCUGAAAUUCCUAGUCAUGUAACAAAUACCUUUGUCAAAUUAGCCGAAGACAUAGCCCACACUCUGAAUGUAUCGAAUUGUUUUGUUGGUGGAGGAACUAACAUGGGAGAAAAAUGGCCGUGGGAAGCUCAAGGAAUUAAAUUAUUCCAAAAUAUUAGAAAUGGAUCAGAAAGGUAAUCUGUCAUAUAAUAAGGGUAAGGAUGGAGACUGGACCUUGACUACUAGUCUGGUAGGGAAUGUUUGUUUUUGGAGAAAAAUUGUGCCAGGCUGUCAUCAGGUGGGAAACCUCAUAUGUACAGGAAAAUGGGAAAGUAAGGUAUGGUGGUCAGGAGCUAAUGCCACAGAGGGAACUGAUGAAAGGGCCCUGUUUAAAGUAAACGGGUUAUCCUUUUUAAAGGAUCCAGAUAAUCAGACCCUUGAAUGGCUGGCUCCUGAUGGACUAUACUGGAUAUGUGGUAAGAUGGCAUAUGGGGUUCUACCAAAAUCUUGGUGUGGAGCUUGGGUCCUGGGAAUAAUUGGACCAGGAUUUUUUUUUUUUUUGCUUCCCCUUAAAACCCGACAGGUGUUAGGUGUCCCGGUAUAUGAUGAGGUGGGAAAUUUAAGACAGAGAAGACAUGUAGAUACAUCAGCAAUAAGGAAAGUUAGGGUUGGAGGUAACCAACGUAGUUGGGGAAGUGAAGAAUGGCCUGCAGAACGAAUUAUUGAGGUUUAUGGACCGGCUACAUGGGCGGAAGAUGGCAUGUAUGGCUAUUGGACCCCUAUAUACAUUCUGAACCGUUUAAUUCGUCUGCAAGUUGUGGUUGAAAUCAUCACCAACGAAACUGUAAAAGGUCUUACUCAAUUAGCUAGGGAAAGUGUCAAAUCAAGGACAUAUAUUAUGCAGAAUAGGUUAGCUUUAGAUUAUUUGUUAGCCAAGGAAGGAGGGGUAUGUGGACUAAUUGCUGUAUAGAAGUUGAUGAAAGCGGAAAGGUUAUUAAGGAAAUAAUAGACAAAAUGGUUAAAAUAGCUCAUGUGUCAGUCCAGACUUGGAAAGGCCUUAAUUUACAGGAUAUGUUUUCAGGAUGGUGGCCAAAGUUACCUGGCCUGCAGGCCAUCUUUGGCCUGGUAGGAUUAAUAGCUGCAAGGGUGUCUUUUUCUCCCGUGUAUUUUACCUCUGUUUGUUAAACUAUCUCUAAAAGUCUAUCCUUGCUGGUGGAACGUAAGACAACUGCUCAGGUGAUGGCUACGUGGGAUUACAAACGGCUCCAGCAGGAAGAGGACCUAUGGUGUGACUCGUCUGGAUAAACAGAUGAGUCACAAAGGGGGGUAUGAGCCAGGCUAAGAUUCGAUAUUGGGAUAAAACUCAAAUAUUAGAAAUCCAAAUCUUUGGUCAAGACAGAAGUGCCUCUCCCGUGCCAAGGUGCUGAAAUGACAAACGGUAUUUGACGUAGGUACAGAAUUGUAGAAGGGCAAACUGACCCUAAACAGAUACAUUCUGUUGUUUAAUGUUUAUUGCAUCCCAAAUGUCAUGCAUAUCCCUGGAUAACGGGUGCUGCUUCCUUAUUGCCCUUGAGGCGUCUUCUAGCCUCUUAUCUCCUUUUGUUAUGUCUUGAGCUCCGGAGCUGAAAGCCUGAGCCUGUGGGAACCAUGCUGUUAUGUCUUUCCUAGAGAUAGAUUAAAGGGUAACUUCUACGUGUGAAAUGUUGUACUCUUCGUAAUAACUUUGUCUUUAUACUGUAUAAAUAUCUGGUUGAAAUCAUCCAUCUUUGUUCAAACUUUUGGGGUCUUCGGACUGUUUGAACCUUUGCGCAAAUAAAAACUCUUUCCUGCACUGAA